CAAUAGCGUAUAUUAAAGCUGUUGCGGUUAAAAAGCUCGUAGUUGGAUUUCUGUCAAGGACAACUGGUCCGCCCCUCGGGUGAGCACAUAGUUUGGUCUUGGCAUCUUGUUGGAAACUGUUGCUGCACUUGGUUGUGUGGAGCAGUGUCCAGCACUUUCACUUUGAGGAAAUUGGAGUGUUUCAAGCAGGCACAUGCCUUUGGACACAGUAGCAUGGAAUAAUUAGAUUGGGCUUUUGCUCCAACUUGUCGGUUUCUGGAGCUGAGGUGAGAAUUAAUGGGGAUUGUUGGGGGCAUCCGAAUUUAGCCGUCAGAGGUGAAAUUCUUGGAUCUGCUAAAGACGGACAACUGCGAAAGCGUUUGCCCAGGAUGUUUUCAUUGA
rnacentral:rRNA from 1 species